CUGCCUUAGGUGGAGUCCACAGCGUGCGAGGAGAGUGGUCAACGCCCUCGUGUGCGUGUGUGUGUGUUUACCCCUCGCUCUAGCGCGUUUUCUUCGUAUUGGUGUGCGCGUUGGUGCGCGCACGUUUUUGUGCUUUUCCUUCUCAGCCUGCCUGCCUGCCUCCUCGAUCUUGGUGUGUGCAUCAUCUCCGUCGCGUCGGCGUUAGCCCACUCCCCAGAGUUGAUCGCCACACGCACACUCGGUGCCACGGUGCGUGUGUUGGUACGAGCUGGACUUGUUUUAUAGCUGUGUGUAGUUGCUCGUUGGAACGCUUUGUGAUGGGUGUUAUCUGUGUCCUUGUCGGUGUCUGGCGCUGUUGAUUGAUCCGCAUCAUACUCCCCACCCACACACCCACCCCACCUUACCUCACCCCACUCCACCUCUCCCUCACCUCACGCCCUCCCCCCCCCUUCUCUUAGGAGUGGGGAAGGCGUUACACACGCGCGCGCAUACACACAUUACGCACACCGCGUAGGAUACGUAGCGUGCAGGGCAGAGCAGGGGGGAGGGGGCAGUAUAGAGAACGAGGUCAAGCGCACACGCGCACACUUUGGUCGACGUGGAGCUUUUCUUCUCGUUGUGGCCGUGAGCGUGUGCCCCUGCCUCGACUUCCGCGCUGCCUGUUGCCCACGAUGUUCCCCUUCGAUGACGAUGUCGUGCAGUUCAUUGUGUUGCUCACACAGCACGGCACCGUGGAGAAGGUCCGCGCAGCCAUUGCGCAGAGUGCCGAUGCGAUGGACUUUGCCUCGCCUCCCGCGUCGCCGGAGGGUGUGAUGCACCUGGCCGCCGGGCAGCGACGGAACAUCGGAGAGCGCGGCCGCGGUGACGAUGGCGAAACGGGCGUCGUUUCGAAAACGGCCCUCCUCGGCGCGCACGUUCCGUUCAUCGCCGUCUGCGAGAUCGCAGACGACCGUGCGGCCGCUGACGGGUCGCAGAUCAUCGCAACAGCGGACCCGGCGACCUUCUUCCGAAGCGUCUCCUGCAUGGAGGACGCCACGCCGGAGGAAGCGGUGAGCCUCGGUGCGACUGCGCGCGGCGGCACCGGUGCCCGUCGCAGCACAGGAGGUGGUGCGGGUGACGACAGCUUCCCGAGCGCACGACAUAAGGCGAAGGCCCUGAGUUGCAUUCUUCUCGAGCGACGCGACCCUCAUGGCGUCGGAGGCGGCACAACUGGUGGUGGUGGCGCUCGCGCGCUCUCUGUGCGCGACCUAUACAUCCAGUCCAUGGACCUGCAGCGCCCCCUGGAUACCCUGCAGUCCAUCUUGCGCAACAUCUACGACCCCAUGCUGCGCUCCCACAAGACUCAGUCCGCGUUGCGUACGCACGUGCAGGACCUCCUCUCCAGCAUCCGCUCGAUGCACAACGUGCUGCCGGAAAUCGACGUCACCCGCUACGUGCACGAGGACCUCCUGCAGUUGUGCGACGCGAACCCUCUGCUUGAUGUGCCGCAGCUUAUCGACCGGCUUGGCGAGGUGGCCAAGGACCCCAGCUUCAUCCGUCGCGUGCUGCAGGUGCGCAACCGCUGCAAAGAGGCGCUCUCGAUGGAGCCGCUUCUGUCCGGGAAGCUGGAAGAGGAAGAGCUGGCGAAGGAACUGCAGAGCACCAACAGCAAAACCAUUGGUUCCCCAGCGGUGGGCCCGACGAGUCUCCCGAGUGGUUUGUCGGGUGCUCAUUCGCAGCCCAGCGCCUCCGCUGCGCCUGGCAAAGGCGCAGCGGCCGGCAUCGCGUAUGACGGCGACGGCGGCGACGACAGCGCGCAGGUUGUGCAGGAGCGCAUCGUGUACUGGCGAUGCGUGCACGCGUGGAUGGAGGACGUCCUGCGGCAAUUGCGUGGGCGUGAGUGGCGGCUGGUGCACCGACUCCUUGCCCAGCGGGUAGAAACGGACUACGUCGGCGAGUACGUUGGCUACUUGAAGCUGGUGCAGGAGUACAUCACCUUCCUCAACACGAUUCCGGAGAAGCGGCUUGCCAAUGUGCAGGACAUGAAAGAGUUCAACGACGUGGCGGACGAGAUCAUCGUGGCGGCGACGCAGCCGACACGAUUUGCGGCGCGGCUGCAGCUGAGCCUACUCACGUCGCUCGUGUGGCAGAUCUCGUCGCGAUGGGUCAGCGUGAUGGAGACGCAGCAGGUGCUUCGCCUCGACGAAGACCCCGACGCCGCCCCAGUCGCAGCGGCCGGUGACGCGAAUGAGACUCAGCACAGAGCCGACGUAACUGCAGGAGUCCAUGCUGAUCCGUUCGUGCCCCUGCAGAUACUGCGCAUCGCCAUACACUCGCUACGCACGCUGCAGGCCCGGUACGUGGAGCACAGCACUCAGCUACGGCACCAGAUCCGCGUGGUGCGCAACCCUCGCGAGCACGUAGAGCACCCGCGUGUGGAAGCGCUGCUCGCGCGCUGCCUCGCGGUACGGGACCUGAUCGAAGAACACCUCCUCCUCAUGCGGCAGCUUGGCGUCGUGUUCUCUACCAAGAUACGCCUGCAGUUUGCCAAGGCCAAGCGUGACGCAGUGACGGCAAUGGGAGCUGCAGCUGCGCAGCAGCAGCCAGGUGAGGAGUAUGCACUGGUGAUGCAGGACGCCUUCAACGAGUGUGUGCGCGCCGUGUGCGGGUGGGCGGACGAUGCGGAAGACCUGCAGCGGUCGCGCAAGGGCAGCGUCGGCGAAUCUGCGGCGUCCUCUGGCAGCCCGCAUCGCGGGCACAAGGGCUGCGGCAAUUACCUGUGGCGAACCAGCCCCACAGCCGUCCAGCGCUUCAAUGCAGCCGUGCAAGAGUACCAGCACAAGCGCAGUCAGUGCGACGAGCAGAUCGCCUUGGUGGUGAGCCAGCUGCUGAGUAACCAGCAGCACGCACAUAAUGACUGUCGAAGCGGCAUGGGCGGCGCGGGGGCGGCGGGGGUGGCUGGGAUGGCCGGUGCAGGAGCGGCGCUGAAGGGGCCGCAGGUCAGCGCCAACUACGCUGACAAUCACGGCCUGCGCCUCUUCCGCACCUUCAAAAGCUUUAAGAUGCUGCCCCUCGAGCGGGUGCAGCGGGUCGUGCACAGCUACCAGGACGCCGUUGCGGAAAAGCUCAGCGCCUAUGUCAGCUACAUCCAAGACUGCUACGUCAACGUGCCCCUCACAAAGCAGGAGGUCAGCUACAACAUGGCACGCUUCUCCGUGUCGGCGUUGGUGGCGCAGAUCAUGUGGGAGCAGCGCCUGGCGGAGGCGCUCACAAAGUCGAUGAUGCGCUUCGACUACGUCAGCGAGCAUGGAUGGCAUCAGCUCUUGUACCUUCGGAACGUCGAGCACUACUGGCGCCUUAACGCCAGCCUUGCCGAGUUCAUCGGCGUCCCACUCGACCUGCUUGUUUGUGAUGAGCUGCAGCUCGACUCCGAGGUGCACGGCUGCGCGGUGGCGCUGGCGUGCUUGAGUCUGCACUACACGGAGGAAGCAAGCGAGUGGGAGCAGGAUGAACACCUCCGUAUCGCGCAGGACCUCGUGGCCACCCGCGAUCCAGGCGCCCUUGCCGUUGCGCGGGAUCGCAUGCUGAUCGGUGGUGCGCCGCGACUGUACAAGACUACCGCACGCGUCCGUGACAUCCGCAGUUCGCGCGACAUUAUUCAGCAGCGGAUCGAGAGUCACAUGGCGAGUUGGUUCGAGGAGGUCGAUAGGCUGAUCGGCGGCAGCGGCCUCGAUCAGCAGACGCUGCUGCUGUCGGGCCCCGUGCUUUGGGCGGUCAACUGCGGGCCCUUCAGCGCGCCGCACAACACAACAGGCGGCGCGGUCGCCAAUGAGGCAGACUCCGCCGUGAUGCGUCUGCAGCCCUCUGGUGGGGCCGGCGCGAUGACGGGCGGCUUCACGGCCAACGCGAACUACUUCAACACCGGUGGCGCCGGCAGCAUGCCGCGUGCCAGCAGCUUCAGUCCGUCCUCUUUAGCGCUGCUGCGCGCACAAGGCCGCAGCGCGUCGCCGUCGGUGCGCCGGGCCUCGUUCUUGGUGCCUGUCGGCAGCGGUGACAGCGAGUCCUUGGCACCGGCGACGGCGACGGCGGCGAGCUGGAUGGUGGAGGUUGCCUUCCCGUGGAGUUUUCCAAUCAUAGCUGAGGAUCUGCGUUAUCUGGAGUCUUCACACCUCACUUCCACCCUGCUCAGUGACGGCUCUGGAGAGCCGGCAGCGACGAGCCGGAGCAGUAACAGUGCUGCGGUCACUACGCCGUCGCCUCGUGGACGGUGCACCGCUGUCGCCUCUGGUCUCGCCUUCCUGCGGGACGCUCUGCGUGGAAACGAGCUGCGAUCACGCCUGGCGCACACGCUAGUGGAGCUCAUUCACGUCUACUACGUCACCGUCAAGGGCGAGGACACCAGUUUGGUUCUGCUGGCGACCGACGAGUACCAGGAGGUAAAUCGGCUCUUCCAGAUGGGUAUUGCCCUGCGCUGGAGCGACGAGGGACUGCUGAGCUACGUGCAGCAGCUGUCCGACACGAUGCAGGCCUUUACCACGACGGUGCAGCAGUUGCGAUCCAAGACGGAGCUGGUGUACCGCAAGAUUCGCGCCUUCCUCGUACGGGCCUUUCACCCAGAGGCGAUCCUGCAGCGAGUGAAGGCACUUCGCCGCAUCGUCGACACCCUCGCCCUGCGCUGUGUGCAUGCGCAUCUGUGGACACGCCAGAUUCAGCCACUGCUGGAGCAGGCGCUGCUUACUCAGAUGAAGUAUCUGAUGCAUUCGUGGACCGAAGACUUCCUGUCCAUGCGCGGCGACGUCCGCUUUCUCGAGAAGGGUGCGGAGACGGACGUGUUUCGGCUGACGCCGUUGCGGGUUCGCAUGCGGGUGGUUUACAAGGAGGUCCGCCUCGAGUCCUGCUGCGGCGCGUGGCGUCAGCACUGGAUCGGCGAGCUUAACCGCUUCUUCAGCUGGAUCGACGUACUGCCGCGGCUGUACAAGGAGGAGGAGACUCAGGCGGACGUCGUCGGCGUCUCGGCCGCACUCGGCUCUGACAUGACGAGCACGGCGGGUCGCAUCAGUCUGACGCCAAGUCAUCGUGACAACUCUGUGCCGCCGGCAGCGGCGGUGACGCAUGGCAGCAACGGUACUGACGGCGCUGGCAUCAACGCAGGCAUCGUUGGAGCCGGCAGCAAUGGCCACAACGCUGCCAGUGGCCGCACACCCGACGAUGGCUACCAAUACCUACUUCUUCGGCUGCCGUCGUCUGCGCUGGCAGAGCCGCUGCACGCGAUUGAGCAGUGUGUGCAGGACGCCAUCGACACAGAGAACGAGUGGCGUCGUGGGCAACAGUUUCUGAGCAUGGAUGUGGCGCUCAUGCAGCAGCGCUUUGGGCGCGACCUGCGCCGCUGGAGCCACGCCCUGCGCCUCAUGCACACGGUGACGUCACGCAUCAUGGACUACACGCAGCCGAACAAGCUUCUCGGCGGUAUUGUAAUCCUCGCGCAGGAAGCACAGAUUGAGUUGGGCCGAAAGCUGGACCAGGUGAGUCAGUAUGCCCAUGCGAAGUUUAAGGACCUGCUGCAGGGGGAGCAGGAACGGGCCUUCAGCGUCAUCACUCAGGAGCGGACGAAGAUCGACGCGCUCGACGUGAUCAGCAACGCGAAGGAUGCAGCCGCGUUUCUAUCGGAGGCACCGCGACUCAAGAGCGAGCUGCAGAAGCUGGACGGCGAGAUCACGCUCAUGGGCAACGGCGAGGUGAGUCUGCAGAAGCUCGGCCACGUGUUCCCGGAAAACUGGAUGUACGCCGCGGCGCUGCGUGAGGAGUACACGUCGCUAGCAGAGCUUGUCGACCGCAAGCUCAAGGCGGUGCAGGUGCGCCGGCCCUUCCUGAUCGAGGAGGCGAAAUCGGCAGCCAGCGCCCUCGAGGUCAAGGUCGCGGAGGUGGAUGCGCGCUUCCACAACGUGGACUCCAUCGCCGUCUCCAAGGAGGCCCCUGUGUUGGCGAAGCAGCUGGUCUCCGAUAUCUACGAGGAGGCCGUUGCCUUCAGCGUGGAGGCGAAGCAGGUGACGGCGAUCCAGGAGGCGCUCGGUGAGUCGCCGCACGUCUUUGCCUCUUUGCAGAAGCUGCUGGCAGACGUGGCGCUUGUGAAGGAUGUGUGGGGCCACGUCGUCUCCGCCUACGUGGAGCUCAACGAGCUCGGCGCGACGCCGUUCUUCGAGAUGGUGCCGCGCCGCCUACAUGAGCGCCUGCAGCAAGUCGAUGAGGAAACAGAUGCGUACCAGGAGACGAUGCACAGUUACCAGCUCUACCAAAACCUCAAGCAGAAGCUGUGCCGCGUGCUGAGCUACAACCGCCUCAUGCAGGAUCUCCGCUCAGACGCUAUGUCGCCGCUAGAGCGCUCCAUGCGGCACUGGACAGCGCUCCAGCACAAGCUGCGCGCACCGUGGGUGCUCGCAAGCCUCACAGUGGCGAACAUCUGGGAAAGCGACCCGGGCGCCAACGCAGCCGUUUAUAGCGAAGUGGUUGAGACGGCCCAGGGCGAGCGCCGCAUCGAGGUGCAGCUGCACAACAUCAACAACUACUGGAACAUGUUCGAGUUCAGCGUGGUGGUCUACAAGAAGCAGGUCGCGCUCAUACGCGGCUGGGACGAGGUGUUCGAGCGGCUCACCGAGGACCUGAGCACCUUCGGCGGCAUGCGCGCGAGCCCGUACUUUGUCUUCCCGCAGCUCGUCUCCAUGGUCAACGACGCCGAAGCACGACUGGAUAGGCUGCGGCAGGUGCUGGAGGUCCUCCUCGAGGUGCAGAAGCGCUGGGUCUACCUUGACGGCAUCCUGUCUGAAAACGCGGAAGUCCGCGCGCAGCUGCCGCAUGACACCGUCAAGUUUGACCGUACCAGCCGCGAACUGCUGCACAUCCUUCCCCGGCCCCGGUCCUCCGGCAACCUGCCAGAGCUACACGUCUCCUUCUUUCUCGAAGAUGAGAAGCUGAAGGCAACGCUGGAGCGACUCCUCUCACAGCUGGCGGCCGUGCAGCGAGCGCUGACGAGCUACCUCGACACACAGCGCAGCCGCUUCCCUCGCUUCUUCUUCGCCGGUGACGACGACCUGCUCGAAAUCAUGGGCAACAGCAAGAACCCACUCUUCCUCAACAAGCACCUGAAGAAGAUGUUCACCGCCUUAGCAGCGCUGCAGCUGGACGGAAAUGUAAAAGACGCCACGACGCGGCUGCGCGGCUUCUCAAGUGCCGAGGGGGAGGAGCUGUCUUUUCAGCCGGGCCCCAUCUCAUACGGGCAUCGGCCGAUCCACGAGUGGCUCGGUGAGGCGGAACAGGGUAUGGUCCACACCCUCCGCGAGGCCACGCUGCGCGCGUACAACGAGCUUGUCAGCACGAAGGAUGCGUCGCCGUACGCCUUGCUGUGGUCGAUGGAUUGGGUGCGGCAGAAGCCGACGCAGGUGUUGUGUCUGGCGCUGCAGCUCUUGUGGACGCGGGAGCAGGAGAGUCUCUUGACUGGUGCGCACGGCGGCAGUGCCGGUGCCGCGGAUGCCCGGCGCACGUCUCGGGCCUCGUCAUCAAAGUUCUCGGUGUUGACAAGCAGCAUGGACGACCUGCUGGCUCGCUUGGCUGGCAAUGUGCUGGGCAACGCCGUUGCUCCGAGCUCGCGUCGCCAGUGCGAGCAGCUGAUCACUAUAGCCGUGUACCAGCGCGACGUCUCUCGCACCCUCGCUGCACGCAAGGUGGCGUCGCGCAACGAUUUCAACUGGCUCAGCGUUUUGCGCCUGUACGUGGUCCCCACACACCACCAGCAGCAGCCCGGCGGCAAGAGCAUGAGUAGCUUGAGCAACAUCGGCCUCGCCCACAGCACGAACGUGAGUGAAUUAGUGCUCAGCGAGUACCGGACCGCCGAGACGCUGGAGUGCCGCAUGGCGGAUGCGUCCGUGCUUCAUGGCUUCGAGUACAUCGGCGCGUAUGAGCGCCUGGUGCAGACCCCGCUCACGGACAAGUGCUACCUGACCCUCAUGCAGGCGCUGCACACCCGCCUCGGCGGCUCGCCGGUUGGCCCGGCCGGCACCGGCAAGACGGAGACGGUGAAAGCGCUCGGCAUGCAGCUCGGCCGCCACGUCCUCGUCUUCAACUGUGAUGACACUUUCGACUACCAAGCCGUUAGCCGAAUCUUCCUCGGCUUGUGCCAGGUCGGUGCGUGGGGCUGCUUCGACGAGUUCAAUCGCCUUGAGGAACGCAUCCUCUCCGCGCUGUCGCUGCAGAUCCAAGUCAUCCAGCAGUCACUGCGUGCGCGGCAGCGGGAGGUGCAGCUGAACCACCGCGCCGUGCCGCUGCACUCGAACGUGGCCAUCUUCAUCACCAUGAAUCCCGGCUACGCCGGCCGCUCCAAGCUGCCAGGCAACCUGAAGCAGCUCUUCCGCACCGUAACAAUGACCAUCCCUGACCGCGAGACCAUUGCAGAGGUGAUGUUGUUUGCGCAGGGCUUCGCCACGGCCGAGGCGCUCUCACAAAAAGUUGUCCCGCUCUUCCGGCUGUGCGAGGAGCAGUUUACCCGGCAGGCGCACUACGACUUCAGCCUGCGCGCUUUGAAGUCCGUCCUGGUAGCCGCGGGUGACCGCAAGCGGCAGGUGGCGGUGGCGUCGCGCGGAAACCACGGCAGUCACAACGCUGCUGGCGGCGCGGGUGCGGACGCGGUGCAGGAAACGGAGCGAACGCUGCUGCUGGAGAGCAUCAUCGCGACCGUUGCCCCCAAGCUGGUCGCGCAGGACGCGGCAUUGUUUUACCCACUGCUGCACGACUUCUUCCCCGGGUGCUCACUGCCGGCGCUGCCGAUGGGCGAGCUGCGCGAGGCCGUAGAGUGCGUGUGCGCGGAAAGCGGCCUCUCCACUGCUGCGGGGUGGAUGGAGAAGGUGCUGCAGUUUUACCACACAAAGAUGACGCGACACGGUGUCAUGAUUGUGGGCCCCAGCGGCACAGGUAAGACGACGGCGUGGAAGGUGCUGAUGGCGGCCAUGGUUCGCCUCGAGCGGGCGCUGCAGAUGCACGCAUACGUCCUCUCUCCCAAGGUCCUUAGCAAGGGCGAACUCUUCGGCACCCUCGACGUGACGACGCGCGAGUGGCGCGAUGGCGUCUUUACAAGUAUCCUGCGCAAGAUCAUCGACGCAGAGGAACAGCAGCAGAUCCCAGAUGACUUGGAGCUGGCGGGUAACGACGACACUGACCACAAAGUCGUGGCGGCGCCGUCGAUGGGCGUCGACAACAAGAAGCGCGUUUCGCUAAAGCGGAACCUCACUUGUGGCGGCGACGCCAGCGAACUGCGGGCCCAAGACUUGGAGGCGCGAAAGGAGCACUGGAUCAUCUUCGAUGGCGACGUGGACCCAGAGUGGGUGGAAAACCUUAACUCGGUGCUGGAUGACAACCGGCUGCUCACGCUGCCAAACGGUGAGCGGCUCCCGCUGCCGCGCUCUGUGCGCAUCAUCUUCGAAGUGCAAGACCUGCUGUACGCGACGCCAGCCACCGUGUCGCGCUGCGGCAUGCUGUGGUUCAGCGAGGGCGUAGUGCCGCUCUCAGGGGUGCUGGCGCACACGUAUUACCAGCUGCAGGAACACCCGAUCGUCGACGCGCGUGGUCGUCACCUACACUGGGGCACCGACCACAUGAUCGGCGUCACCGGGGCGCGGAGCGCCCUCUACGCGGAAUGCCUUGUGAGUGGUGAAUACGGCAAGGUGUAUCACGAGUUCGUCCUGUCGAGCACCAGGACCAGCGCUGAGGAAGUGAUGGCCGGCAGUCUGCCGCGGCAUCAUGGCCGCACCAGCUCCGGCGACGAAGGCAUCACCGCCUUAGAGACGCCGAAGCGCAGCAGUCACUUGUGCAAGGACGCGACCCCGCGAAACGACAAGGCCGCCGAGCUCGACAUGGGCGACACCCUCUACGGCACGACAGGUCACGGGAGCCACACCAUAUUCACGAGCACCAGCGGCGGCGGCGCCAGCACGCUCCGUCGCAGCCACCCUGAUGCGGAGCGCAUCCAGGAGCUCAUGGUCAGCUCGUGGGCGGCGGCCUUCGAGAAGGACGGCGCUGUGGUGCGCGGGCUGCAGCUGAUGAAGUCGGCGGCGUUCCGCGGCGUGUGCGUGAUGGUGCCAAGCGACCUACAGUGCAUCCAGAGCAUGGUCGCGUUUCUGGUCCAGGGCGUAUGGCGCACCUUCGAAACCGAACAGCAAAACAACGGUGACGUCUUCAGCGACGCCGUGGUGAAGAAGAUCGCGAUGCAGGUGCUCUCUUACGCGAUCUUCUGGGGUCUGGCCUCAGCCAUGAGCCUGGAGAACCGCAUGAAGCUGGCGCAGCAGCUAGGGCUGCGGCCGACUGUCGACGGCGUUGCACAGUCGAUGUUGGAGGUGGAGGUGUGCUACCGUACGGGCGAGUGGCGGCUGAUCCGCAACCGUGUCAAGGAGAUCUCACUCCUGGCGGAGCAGGUGGGCGCGAACGACACCGUCAUAACCACUGUGGACACGUGCCGGCACGAGGACGUGCUGAGCGCCUGGCUCGGCGCCGGUCGCUCCGCCAUUCUGUGCGGGCCGCCGGGCUCUGGCAAGACCAUGUCGAUCACUGCAGUGCUGAGCAGCCUGCCCGAGUACGAGGUGGUCUUCCUGAACUUCUCGAGCGGCACGACGGUGAAAACGAUUGUGAAGGCGCUGGAGCAGCACUGCCGUGUGCAGGAUACCGCGCGCGGCCUCGUGAUGGCGCCGACGUCCGGCAAGCAGCUCCUUCUCUUCUGCGAUGAGGUGAACCUGCCGGCGCUGGACCGCUACGGCACGCAGGUCGUCGUGCAGCUGCUGCGGCAGCUCAUCGAGCGCAAUGGCUUUUACCGCGCGCGUGACAACACCUGGAUCACCGUUGAGGACGUGCAGGUCGUCGGCGCCUGCAACCCGCCAACCGACCCUGGCCGUGUGCCGCUCAGCGCACGCUUCCUUCGUUGGGCGCCGGUGCUGCUCGUCGACUUUCCGUCUCCAGAGUCGCUCAAGACGAUCUACACAACCUACUGUCGCGCCAUCCUGGCGUGGAAUGAACGCCUCAGCGGCCAAGUCGCCACCCACCUGGCGCAGGCGAUGGUGAAGAUGUACCGCGUCUCUCAGGCCAAGUUCACGCCGAUACAGCAACCUCACUAUCUCUAUUCGCCCCGCGAGCUGUCGCGCUGGUCGAGGGCGCUGUACGAGGGCAUCCUCACCUGGGACGACACGGUGCGGCGCCAGCUCGAUGUCAGCCAGCUCGUGCGCCUCGCCGUGCAUGAAGGGCUGCGCGUGUUUGCCGACCGCCUCGUCACGGCGGAGGAGCGGGCAUGGACGGGCACGGCCAUUGUGAAGGCGUUUCGCGAGUUCUUCACCGACGUCGACGACCACGCGUUCCAUCAGCCGCUGCUCUACUCCACGCUUCUCUCGCGCAGCUACACGGACAGCCCACGGGAGGAACUGCGGGAGUACGUGCAGAAGAAGCUGGCAGCGUUCAACGAGGAGGAGUCGCUGGGCAACUUGGUCAUCUACGACGCGAUGAUCGAUCAUGUCGUGCGCAUCGACCGCGUCCUGCGCCAGCCCCUGGGUCAUCUGCUCAUCGCCGGCUCCUCUGGUGUCGGGAAGACGGCCUUGACGAAGCUGGUGGCGUGGAUGCGCGGCUUCUCGACCUUCACGCUGAUGUUGCACCGCGGGUACGACUUGGACGACUUCGAACACGACCUCCGCGGGGUGCUGCGCCGCGCCGGAUGCAAGCGGGAGCGCAUCUGCUUCCUGUUCGAUGAAUCCAACAUCCUGCAGCCGAGCUUUCUCGAGUACAUGAAUGCCCUCCUGGCGUCGGGCGAAGUGCCCGGCCUUUUCGACGGCGACGAGUGGUCGAAACUCAUGCAGGAGGUUCGCGAUGCGGUACUGGCGAGCCAGAGCUACUAUGCCACAUCGCGUGGUGCCGGCGCCGGCGCUGUUGCGGCAGGAAGAGCAGGUGGCGGCGGCGAGGCAGGCCGCGACAGGGACUCGUCGGUACUCCGAGGAGGCGGCUGCAAGGGUCUGGACGGCAACGACAACGGUGACGGCGUCACCGGUUGCCGGCGCGCCUCUGCGGUCACCGGCGUCGGCGUCGCGGCGAGCGCGGCGGCGGACAACUUGGUUGACGUGCACAACGAAGCGGAACUGUACCAUUGGUUCCUGACGAACGUGCGCGAGUACCUGCACGUCGUGCUCACAAUUAACCCCUCCUCAGGUGAGUUCACGUCGCGCACGGUGGCGAGUCCGGCGCUGGUAAACCGAUGCACCAUCGACUGGUUCGGCGACUGGGACACGGCGACGCUGCAGCAGGUAUGCCAAGAGCGGAUUUGCCGUCUCGCGCUGCUGCCCGCCUGCCACGGCGUCUUCGCAACCGAGGUGGAGGCAAAGGAGGCGGUCGUGGAGAGCCUGUGCGCCAUUCACGUCGCCACGCAGCACAUUAACCAAGCUCUGCGCGUGCGACACGCCAACCAGGGCACCUUCGUCACGCCGCGUCACUUUACGGACUGCGUCUCGCACUUCGUGGCCAUCUUCCAGGAAAAGAAGAAGGUCUCCAGUGAUGCCCUGGUGCACCUGCGCAGCGGCCUGAAGAAGCUCGAGUUGACGGCGCAAGAGGUGUCGGCGCAGCGGGCAACGCUGCAGGACAACGAGGCUGAGAUCGAGGCGAGCAGCCGGCGAGCGCAGGCGAUGCUAGAGCGCAUCGUCAGUGAGACCGACGUCGCGAAGCGUGAGAAGGCCGCAGCGCAGGACUUGGAGCGUCAGCUACAGGAUGAACAUGCGCAGAUCUCUGAGGACGCGCAGCGCCUGUCCAUCGAACUCGCGGAGGCGGAGCCGGCGCUGCGGGAGGCCGAUGCAGCGCUCAGCACGGUGAAGCCGGAGUACCUGCGCGAGAUUCGCGCAUACGCGAUGCCGCCGCCGAUGGUGAAGCGCACGCUCGAGGCUGUUGGGGCGCUGAUGGGUGAGAAGAACUGUGAGGACUGGGAUUCGCUGAAGAACUGCAUCCGCCGCGACGACUUCUUGGCCAGCGUGCGCAACUUCCGCCCCGACGACAUCACCGAGCCGGCCCGCGAGCGCGUGCGGGGCAUGAUGCGAGACAGCAAGUUCACUGUCGAGGCGGCGUACCGUGCCUCGAAGGCGGCCGGGCCGCUUAUGCAGUGGGUGUUCUUUCAGGUGAAGUACUCCGCCAUCUACCAGCGUGUGGCGCCGGUGCGGUCGAAGAUCGAGAAGCUGAUCAAGGCGCGUGACGUGAAACUAAAAGGUCUGGAGGUGGCGCAGGAGGAGGUGCGUGAGAAGGAGAACUCGUUACAACAGCUCAUGGGCGAGUACCAGAACGCCACUGCACAAAUAGCAGAGCUGAAGCAGCGCAUUGCCGCCGUCUCAGCCAAGUGCAACCGUGCGCAGACGAUCCUGCGGCAGUUGCUGGACGAGCGCGACCGGUGGGAGAAAGAGGUGCACAGCUUCGACUCUGAGGCGCGCACGACGCUGGGCGACUGCGUCGUGUCCGCGGUCUUCCUCGCUUACACCGGCUUCUACGACGAGCACACACGCGAGCGCGUCUUGAUGCCACGCUGGCUGGCAUGUCUGCAACGCGCCACCAUCCCCGUCCGCAAGGGUCUAAGCGUGACGGAGUACCUCUCUCCCGCCACGCAGCAGUUGGCGUGGCAAGAGGCCGGGCUGCCCAAGGACCGCCUGAACAUCGACAACGCGGCCAUCAUGCACCGCUGUCAGCGGUACGUACUGCUCAUCGACCCGACCGACGUGGCUGCGCACUUUGUACUCCGCUACUACGGAGCCCAGAAGAUCACCAAGACCUCGUUCAGCCGACCUGGCUAUGUGAAGCAGCUCGAGAUGGCGGUGCGGUUCGGCUACCCGAUUCUUAUGGAGGACGCCGAGCACCUCGACCCCGCCGUGGCUCCGCUGCUGAACGGCGAGGUACGCUGCCACGGCACACGUCACAUUACCCGCAUCGGCCCGCACGAGGUGGACCUGGCGCCGUCGUUCCAUCUCUUCCUGCACACACGUAACCCGAACUUCCAGCCGCCGCCAGACCUGGCUGGGCAGGUGUGCAUGGUGAACUUCACCGUCACACUAUCCUCGCUGCAGUCGCAGUGCUUGCACUACACCCUUCUCCACGAGCGCCCCGAUGUGGAUGCGAAGCGCUCGAAGCUACUCAAGGCCCAGGGCGAGUAUCAGCUGCGGCUGCGCGUGUUGGAGGAGAAACUGCUCACCCGCAUCGCCGAAGCGGAGGGCAGCCUGCUGGACAACGACGCCCUCAUCGAGAGCCUGACGGAGUUGAAGGAGGAAGCCACCUGCAUCGCCGGCGACAUCGCCGACAGCGAGAACUCGAUGCGUGAGAUUUGGGGCGUGGAAGACAUGUACCGCCCCAUCGCGACGGUGGUCGCACAGGCGCACUUUGCGCUGCAGCGCUUCGAGGAGCUCAACCCGUAUUACUGCUACGACGUUCGCUUCGUUCUGCGUGUUUUGGGCGACGCGCUGCGGGCGCUGCCGGCGACAAGCACGCCAGCAGCGGAUGGGGGGCUGCGUCUGCAGCAGCUCACGUACGGGAUCUUUGUGCUGCUGCACCGACGCGUGGUGCGGGGCAUGUUUCACGAGGACCAUCUCGUGUGGGUGUUGCGUCUGGCGCAGCUAAGGAGUGCGAUGAGCGCGACGGGCGCCAAGUCCGCGUCUGCCGCCCCAACGGCGGCGCCAAUGAUGGCGCUUCCCACCGGCAGCACCGGCGGCUCCGCUGUGAUGCCGGAGGAGUGGGAGUGGAUCUUGUCGUGCCUGCGUCUCGCGGGAAGCGGUGUUGGGGCUGCGGGCGCCGGCGCCGGCCCCCCAUCGACAGCGGCAUCCCGCACGAUGACGACCGACUCCUCCGAAGAUGGUGGGGCCAGCAACCCCAUAACAUUAGCGACGACAGCGGCAAGUCUUCCACCGGUAGUGCGGCAGGCCUGUCCAGCCUUGGGGUCGCAAAGCUGCCAGGCGCUCGCCUUCCUGCUCACGAAGCCCGCCUUCAACGAGGUUCGCGAGACGCUGACGACGCGGGCGGCUGCGUGGGAGGCGGUGCUCACGUCUGCCACGCCAGUGGCCACCAGCGAGUCCGCCCUGCCAGCGGAGUGCUUUCCUCGCGGCGCCAGUCGCGUGCGCCGGCUUUUAUUGCUGGCUCUCAUACUGCUCAACACGCGCCGUGACGCCUUCAUCGAGGCGGUGCGCCAGCUCUUGGCGUCGUACUUCUCACCAAAGGAGAUGGGCACAGCCGCCGCGGCUGGAGCUGACGGUGCUGCCGCCCUCUUCACGGACGAUUUCUUCGCUCCGCAGACGAACGAUCUCGCUGACGGCAUCAUGGCUGAGCUCUCCGCCGCGACGCCGCUGCUGAUGGUGACCGACACCAUGUUCGAUCCCGCCCUGCGCGUGGAGGAGCUGGCGCAGCGCACGGACACGAACCUCAACGUCGUGGCGAUGGGCAGCAUGGAAAGCAUUGAGAACGCGGACGCCUACCUGGCGGAGGCGACGAAGUUGGGGGGCUGGGUGUUGCUGAAGAACGUUCACUUGGCGCGUGGCUACAUGGACAAGCUCGAGAAGCAGCUGCACUUCCAGCGGAGCGAGGGUCAGCUGCACAAGGAGUUCCGUCUUUUUCUCACGGCUGAGCGAGACAGGAGCGCGGCAAAGUCUUCCGCAACAGCCACAGCGGCAGCAGCCUCAUCCAAGGUGCUGCCCAUCAAUCUCAUAGAGGCCUCUGUGGUCGUGGUCUACGAGGCCCCGCCAGGCAUGCAGUCAUCUCUCCUGCAAACCUACGGUGAGUAUCCCGCGGUCGGGACGGCGGCCUUCGACGGCGCCGGCGCAUCCUCGGUCGUUCCGAGCGCCGGGGCCGCCGCCGUGAGCAGCAACACCUCCCUGCAGCGCCUCUACCUGGCCGCGGCUUGGCUGCACUCCGUCAUCACCGAGCGCAUCCUCUACAAGCCCCUCGGCUGGAGCGAGGCGUACGAGUACACGGAGGUGGAGUAUCAGCGUGUCGUGCAAGCGGUGCAGGCAUGGAGCUCAGCCGCACCAGCAGCAGCAGCGACAGCGUCGAGCAGCAAUGCCGGCGCCCUAAAGGUCUCCUGGGACGCCCUGCGCACCAUCGUUGCGACUACCGUCUACGGCGGCAAAGUGAGCAACAUCUUCGACCAGCACGUUCUCAACGUCUUCUGCCGCAGGCUGCUUCGUCCCGAGAUGCUGCAAGACGCGGCUCAGUUCGUCUCUGAGGCGGCGGCGGCCGGUGUGCCACCGCCACCCAUCCGCGGACGCUCCCGCGCGGAGCUGCUUCAGUGGAUUCACGCGCUUCCCGGCGGCAGCAGUCAUCCAGCAUGGCUGGCGCUGCCGAUCGGCGCGGACCGCAUGACGCGCGCGCGCAGCGCCAUCGAAGUGGUGGAGCGCCUGUCCCUCGUGCAGAGUACCCUGGACGACGAGCUCACAUUCGCCGACAUCGACGGCGAUGCACAGGCCGCGGCAGGCGGCGCGGGUUCCACCUCGCUGAGGAGCGGCGCACUCCGGGCUACGCGGUGGGCAGCCAAGGUGCAGUCCUACUGCACUGCCUGGUACCCCACCCUGCGCGAUGCGCUGGAAAAGCUGGAGAAGCACCCCUUUGUUCUACAAGCCAUCGCGCUGCACGAGCAGGAGACCGUUGAGCGUGCCAGCGCCGCCGACGUCGGUGCCGCAAAGGAAAUCCGAGUCAACCUCAGCGUGGCCAGUCAUCCCGGUGGUGUGGCGGCGCCGCUUGUGCUCGCGAUGCAGCGAGAGGUGGUGGCUGCGGUGGAGCUCGUGCGGCACCUCGUGGCGUGCGUGCGCGAGCUACGCGAGGUGGUGAUGGAGGAGCGGACCCCGAGCUCCGCGCACCGCGGCCUCGUGGAGGAGCUGAUGAAGGACCACGUGCCAGACGUGUGGGCCGCGCACCUGCGUGGUGUUCAUGGCUCGGCUGCCCAUUCCCUGUUCGUCGGUCUCUGGAUUGCCGACGUCCAACAGCGUGUCGAACAUCUUCUUGAGCUGGCAACGGCCGCGCACGGCGGGCAGCUGGCGAAGACGCCGGUGCGUCUCGGUGCACUCUUCUCUCCUGGCGCGUUCUUGACCGCCUUCAAGCAGCACUGCGCGCGGGCAGAGCAGGUGCCUCUAGAGCAACUGGUGCCGCAGGUGGAGGUGGCCGCAGCGACCGGCGCCAGCGCAGGAGGGGCGCUCCGCACGGCAUCCUCCGCCUUGUCGGCCGCGGGCAUCCCUGGUGCGCCCGCAACCUCGGCUGCCAGCCUGGCGCCACCGAGGGAUAACGAGAUGGUCUUCACCGGGCUCACUCUGCACUCGGCACAGGUAGAUGUUGAAGGCAAGUGCACGCUGAGCGGCGCCACGACUAGCGGUGCUGCCCCCGCGCUCUCUUCCGCCGUCGUGCUGCGCUGGAGAUGGGUAAGGAGCACCGAAAGUGUCGCCACGACAACGGCACUGACGGCGCGCCUCGAACUGCAGACGGAGCAACAGCAGAGCAUUCUCCUGCCCUUCUACACGACGGAGAACCGCGAGGCACUGCUGGAGGUGCUGGAGCUGCCUAAAGCGCCAAAUAGCGGCAUCACCAGCGGUGACAGUGAUGCCGGCGUCCACGCGUGGUACGAGCGGGGUGUGUGUGUAGCCGCGUGGUCGGCAUCUGAGUAAAGCGCCGUGGAGGCCAUGUCGAAGGGACGGCGGGAGUCUCAGCCGGCGUCUGCGUGAGUGCGUGUGCGCCUCAGCCCCGCGCCGGCAACGUCGACUCGGAUGUGACAAUGAAAAAGAGGGAGGAGGGGAGGGGGUAAGCACGCAGACAAAAUAUUUACAUGGGGCGGAACGGGACAACGGCGACUGUGAUAGGUGGUCACGACCGCACAGCAAAGCAGUGCUGGCGCGAAGCGAAAGAGGGGGAGGGGCGCUGUGCCCACAGCAAGCGGCAGCGCCGCCCCCUCCCCCACCCCCAUCCACACACACACACACACACGCUCGCGCACACACGCACAUCGUUUGCCCUUCGGUUGGUGUGCCUUCACAUGGUGCACACCACAUCGAUGCGAAAGUGAGCACGACAAAGUAAGUGGCAAGCCGAAUAAGUGGCGGCGUGCCGUCGCACCGCGCCGCAGUCUUGUAGAACUUCAUCGUUGGCGUCCCCUGUGCAUGCGUACGGCGUAGACACAUGCAGGUAAGGGGGCAUGCCUGCUUGCUUGCUUGCUUGCUUGCUUGCUUCUUACGCGUGCUCUUUUCCAUCCUGUCACCUACGUCUCACAUCGCGUUCAUU
rnacentral:misc_RNA from 1 species